CAGCAGCCGCGGUAAUACGGAGGGUGCAAGCGUUAAUCGGAAUUAUUGGGCGUAAAGCGUGCGUAGGCGGUUCGUUAAGUCUGUUGUGAAAGCCCCGGGCUCAACCUGGGAAUGGCAAUGGAUACUGGCGAGCUAGAGUGUGUCAGAGGAUGGUGGAAUUCCCGGUUUAGCGGUGAGAUGCGUAGAUAUCAAGAGGAACACCGGUGGCGAAGGCGGCUUCCUGGAAGAUACCUGACUCUGAAACACGAAGGCCAGGGGAGCGAGUGGGAUUAGAGACCCCUGUAGUCCCUGUCUCUUAUAC
rnacentral:rRNA from 1 species